rnacentral:rRNA from 1 species
GACGAACGCUGGCGGCGUGCUUAACACAUGCAAGUGGAGCGACGAACCAGGGCUUGCCCUGGGGCAGAGCCGCGAACGGGUGAGUAACACGUGGGUAACGUGCCCCGAUGAUCGGGACAACCCGGGGAAACCCGGGCUAAUACCGAAUGUGCUCCCCUCACACCAGUGAGGGAUGGAAAGGAAGCUUCGGCCUCCGCGAUCGGGAUCGGCCCGCGGCCCGAUUAGCUUGUUGGUGAGGUAACGGCUCACCAAGGCUGCGAUGGGUAGCUGGUCUGAGAGGACGAUCAGCCACACUGGGACUGAGACACGGCCCAGACUCUACGGGAGGCAGCAGUGGGGAAUCUUGCGCAAAUGCGCGAAAGCGUGACGCAGCAACGCCGCGUGGGGGAA